rnacentral:lncRNA from 13 species
GGGAGAGAAGUCAAGGAUCUGAUCAAGUCUCGUUUAUUAGCUAGAAGGCAGUUGCUUAUAAACAAGUAAGGGCGGGAAGUUCUGAGGGCUGAGGUCAGAGAGUAACCAUGGAGAUGAGGCUGCAGGCUAGCCUCAUAAGUAGGAGGAAUGUGAAACUUAAAUAAGGGAAGCCCACAAGAUGGAGGUUUAGAGAAACGAUAUUCAGGCUUGAGAGCACUUAUGAAACCAAAGGUGGAUUAAUGAAUCAUCAAAUGGAAAAUAGCUAACCUAAUCAGUGUUUGUGUUUAAAUUAUAUCCGUUACAGAAAUCAGCUCCUGGAUACAUCAGACUCAAGUCAAAGCCUAAAGAGCUGAGAAAGCAACUCCUAAUAGCCCAGAAAAAUGUCCUAUCAAUGUUAAAAAAUAGUAAUAAGAACUCUUAUGCUGAA